CCUACGGGUGGCAGCAGUGAGGAAUAUUGGUCAAUGGACGAGAGUCUGAACCAGCCAAGUAGCGUGAAGGAUGACUGCCCUCUGGGUUGUAAACUUCUUUUAUAAAGGAAUAAAACGAGGCACGUGUGCCUUUUUGCAUGUACUUUAUGAAUAAGGAUCGGCUAACUCCGUGCCAGCAGCCGCGGUAAUACGGAGGAUCCGAGCGUUAUCCGGAUUGAUUGGGUUUAAAGGGAGCGUAGAUGGGUUGUUAAGUCAGUUGUGAAAGUUUGCGGCUCAACCGUAAAAUUGCAAUUGAUACUGGCAGGCUGGAGUACAGUAGAGGUAGGCGGAAUUCGUGGUGUAGCGGUGAAAUGCUUAGAUAUCACGAAGAACCCCGAUUGCGAAGGCAGCUUACUAAACUGUGACUGACAUUGAGGCUCGAAAGUGUGGAUAUCAAACAGGAUUAGAUACCCCAGUAGUC
rnacentral:rRNA from 1 species